UUUAUUUUUAACUGGAGGAUAAUUGCUUUACAACUGCUACACAACAAUGUGAAUCAGCUCUGCAGAUGGCCAUGCUUAACAAGGUGGAAGAAAGCAAGUGGUUACUGAGAGCAGAGUUUGCAGAUGUCAACCACCCAGUGAUAAAAGUGGUCUGAGCCUGUCCUGUAGGGAAAAUAAUGGAAAGCUGGUCUUGUCACGGGAUCGCUCAUGACAAUAAGAGGCAGGCAGGAUAUGACUUCUCAUGAAGACACAUGUUUUUUUGACCCCAGAUGGAUACUUUACCAAUAUCUUCAGUGCGGACAUGCACUGACAUCUAGUGGAUGAUCAGCCAAAGCAAAUUGGUUAAAUUCACAUUUAAAUUAAUAUUACAUGUGAAGACUUUUUCCUGCUGACACCACCACCCCUCUGGUCUUGUGAAACGCUGGCGCAUGGUUGGAUGCCUACCAGAAUUAACAAGCUUACAGGUAGGCAAAGAUAAG
ensembl:lncRNA